rnacentral:rRNA from 1 species
GUGGAGGCCUGGCCGGCGGCUGGGGGAAGACUGAGGGGGGUAGUGUUGUUUGGAAGUACGGGCGGUAAAGCGUACGUAGGCGGCUUUGCAAGUUAGAGGUGAAAGCCCAGUGCUUAAACCUGGAAUUGCCUUUAAAACUGCAUCGCUAGAAUUGUGGAGAGGUAAGUGGAAUUCCGAGUGUAGAGGUGAAAUUCGUAGAUAUUCGGAAGAACACCAGUGGCGAAGGCGACUUACUGGACACAUAUUGACGCUGAGGUGCGAAAGCGUGGGGAGCAAACAGGAUUAGAUACCCCAGUAGUC